rnacentral:misc_RNA from 1 species
GCUAGUGUGUAUUAUGUGGGACCCGACGGCUGGAAGAAGUUAUCCGGGGACGAUGUUGUUGAUUUGCACUACAAGUAUUACCCUAUCGUUCAUCCUACACCUAUUGAGGAAGAAAUGGUUGACGCUCCUGCAGCUUGACAAGUUCCUUGGCCCCUUUGCCUGACUUUUCACCAGGGGACAUUUUGUAGCUUGGAUUGUCUUUAAUGCUUGAAUGGUCUAUUAACUUUUAAAUUUGUUUAUUUUGAAAGGUGAAA